CGGAGCGCGCUCGGCUCUUUCCGCCGGCCCGCCGCGCGGGAGGCCGACCUCCUGGCCUCUGCUCCAGCGCUCUUUUCUUCCUGAGAUUCUCACAGAGUGCUUGGACCCAAGAGUAUGUGUUUUUAGUGAGCACCCCACAUGCUUCUCUUGGAGGCACUCCAUCAGCAACAGUUUGUGGAAAAGAAAAGUGGAUCAAAGCCACUCGAAUUACUGGGAACUGUCUUUGAGGAUGCACUGAAGCAACGAGGGACACACACACGUCGGUUGUCCACUUUAUCAACGUUUCAGCAUUGCACACUCCAUGAACUUAAACGGAGAGAAACAAAGGUCAGCAUCAUAUCAGAGUUCUUACCAGAAACCAUGCAUAAGUAGAAGACAGUGGAGUGACAUAUUCAGAGUUUUGAAAGAAAAAAAAAAAAAAAACGGUGACCUAGAAUUUUGUAUCCAGCGCAAUUAUCCUUCAAAAGUAAAAGAGAAAUACAGAUCUUCUUAGAGAAGCAAAAGUAGACUUGCCUUGCAAGAAACAGUUUUAAAAGUUCAUCAGGGAGAAGGAAAAGGAUAAGGGUCAGAAACUCAGAUCUACGUAAAGAAGAGUCAGAGAAGAAAUAGUAAAGAAUCUUAGAUUGUCCUUGGAAGCCCUUACUGUUAAUGGUGCUGACUGUUAUCUGAAUCCCAUACUCCUGGAAAACAGUGACAAUUAAGAGAUUUCUCAUACUUUGUGUUUGGAGAAAAAGCUCACUGCAGGGAACCUGUCUCCCCCAUAAGACUAAAUGAGACUUACAGGAGUACCUUGAUUACUUAGGAAAAGGCCAGACACAGACCCUCCAAAUUUCCAUGCUUUAUCUCUUAAAUGAGCUGAACUAUUUUGUCCCCACUGAUCAAUGGGAGCAAAUGUGUGUUAGACAAACCUUGGUUAAACUUCUGUCAUGACAUAUUUUGAAAUGGCUACUACCUCCCCCACCAGCCAAACAAGGGGGUUUUUCUCCCAUCUUCACCUUGAGAACAUGAUGGGAGUGCUGGAGAUAAAAUCCAUGAAAAUG